UCCGACUAGCAACUCGAAGGUCCGUGGUUCGAUUCCACGUGGGUUCCUGAAGUCCUGGGCUUCCAACAUUCCCAGGGGUCUACCUUCCCAGGAGCCAGUCGGGUCGAGAAACUUCCCCAUUACGAAGUAAUGGGACGGAUAUUUUGCCGUAAGAUCUCAUACAUAUUUCAGAUUGUAAUAUAUAUUCAUUUAUCUGAAACUGUUGAUUAUUUUAAUAAUUUGGUUGACUCUUUCAGGAUUUGAACCCAUAACCUGUAGCGUAUCGUGCCGAUGCUCUACCACUGAGCUAUAAGUCAUAUUAACAUACUGUCUACAUUUUCGUGUUAAUUGAGUUAACAAAUUUGGACUUAGAAUAAUUUUUGUAGCAUGAUUCAAGACAAUUUCCUUUUAAUAUGUCUAUAAUAAAUACAUCUAAUUGAAUUGCGAAACGAUUUACCAUAAAUUAAUGUGCUAAACUUCCGACGGGAUUUGAACCCGGAAACUUUAGAUCCAUACACCAACGUUCUACCACAGAGCUAUGAUCCUUAUGUAACAUCAGUCAGGUUAGCAAAUAAUUUUACGAGCCUAUAAAAAUUGCCUUUAUUAUCUUUUCGUGCCUUCUAAUAUUAGUGAAUAAUUAUUUAUAACUCAUGGCUCAACGGUUGAGCAUCGGCAAUGCACACCGAAAGUUUGGGGAUCGAUCCCCGAAAGAGUUAAAUUAAAUUCUGAGAAACUACUUCAAUACACCGUAAACAAAACUCUGGUAAAUAUGAGUUUCAACUAUGUUCAACAGAUAUCUACCAACUACAGAAUUGAGAUGUCAUCGGCAAUCAUUCAAAGGCAAUCCGGGAAUUCGCAGUACAAGAACUGCACAUCAGUGGCCAUC